GGAUGUGAGUAAUCUGGCUUUGUUGUCUGUGACCCUACUGAUCACCAGAGUUGAUUCAGCUGAUGUGGCUGGCUGGGUAGGUCCCCCCUUCCUCCCUGUACAAGCUGUAAGUGUGGACAGGUCUUCCAAUGAGGGUAUCGGAGUAGUUGCACUCCCCUGCUAGUGCCUUCCAACAAGCUCUCAGAGCGUGUGAUAUUCAGGAGAGUUGUUUCUUUCCCAAGAAUGACCCACAUGUUACAAUCAGUACAUUAAUUAAUUUAAUUUAUUUUUUU
rnacentral:snRNA from 1 species